UGUCAUGCCAAUGGCACUGCCCGGUAGCUAAAUGCGGAAGAGAUAAGUGCUGAAAGCAUCUAAGCACGAAACUUGCCCCGAGAUGAGUUCUCCCUGACCCUUUAAGGGUCCUGAAGGAACGUUGAAGACGACGACGUUGAUAGGCCGGGUGUGUAAGCGCAGCGAUGCGUUGAGCUAACCGGUACUAAUGAACCGUGAGGCUUAACCUU
rnacentral:rRNA from 1 species